AUGGUGCCGCGGAAGACGACGACAGGGAGCACGCCACGAUGCCGCCCACCAUUGAUGUCGUCAAGCCGGCGCCAUGGGGGAUGGCGACACGGAGCUCGACAUCGUGCAGCCCGUCGUCUACCUUGUCACACCGAAGAGAUGCCGUUCGAGAUGGAGACCUAUGGUUCGCCGUUACGCCCUUCACCCACUUCAUCGAGACAUAGAGGACGAAGCAGCGGAGCCUGCCUGGACGCCGCCCGCGGACCACACCGACACGGAGCUCGACAUCAUGCAGCCCCUUGUCUACUUCGUCACACAGGGAUGCCGUUCAAGAUGGCAACCCGGAGCCCGCUAUCACACACCGUUCAUUAA
rnacentral:rRNA from 1 species